GUGAGAGGUAGAGGGAGACCAAGUUCUGGGGACCUCUUUUGACCCCCUGGAUCGAACCCUGCCAGAAGUCCAUGCACCUUGGGUUUUUCAAUUACAUGAACCCUAUUUGCUAUUUGCUAUUCUCAGUUACGUGAACCACACAUUCCCUAUUAUGUUUAAGCCAAUUUGAGUUGAGUUUCUGCCACUUGCUCCUGAAAUAGCUC
rnacentral:lncRNA from 10 species